UACGGGGGGGGCAAGCGUUGUUCGGAAUUACUGGGCGUAAAGGGCGCGUAGGCGGUUGGAUAAGUCAGCUGUGAAAACCACGGGCUUAACUCGUGGCCUGCAGUUGAGACUGUCUGGCUUGAGUGUGGGAGAGGAGAGUGGAAUUCCUGGUGUAGCGGUGAAAUGCGCAGAUAUCAGGAGGAACACCAAUUGCGAAGGCAGCUCGCUGGGACGUUACUGACGCUGAGACGCGAAAGCGUGGGGAGCAAACAGG
rnacentral:rRNA from 1 species